GUUUUUAUAUGUGAGGUAAUCUUGCUGGGAGUGAAGGCAGUGUGUUCUGUCCAAUAGUGACCCAGCCCUGGGUUAAAAGCAACCCAGCAUUUUUUAGAGUGUACGAGAGACACAUUCUAUUUUUAAAGGUCAACAUACUGUAAGCUUCAUUCCCUUUAAAGCAGAGUUUUCAUAUGUGAGGUAAUCUUACUGGGAGUGAAGGCAGUGCAUAUGACCACUUGAUAUGAAAGACACAUCCUGUUUUUAAAGGUGGAUCAUGAGUGAAGCUCUGCAGGUCUGCCAUUAGCUUGAUAACAGUGGUUUAUGUGAAUUGAGUGAAUUCAAUUUUUAAAUAAAUCUUUCACCAAGCAUUCACCUAUUUACGGACAAAACAGAUCCAAAUCUUGUUCAGCCUGAUGCUCAACCUUGUAUGAUGAUGACCACAGCCAGGUGAUGGAGAUCUGUGUUAUUCACAGCCUGCAUCUCAAGAUCAACAUGACAAUAGCAGACCAUUUCUUAUCUUACUCCUAUCUGACUAAAUGUUCAGCAUCAUUGCAACAAAACAAAGAACAUUAGAUGGAGUAUUGGAUGAUCCCGUAAAGAAAAUAAUAUGGACUUUUUUGGUGAGAUUCUACAAAGAUUGACACAAUCCUAUUGACUUUUAUUUUUACAGUUAAUAAUGCAUUAUAAACAUCCCAUUCAUUUGUAUUCUAUGUCAUCGAUCUGUUUGUGCUAAAAUGUAUACAUCUGAAUGUAAUGUCAAUAAUAUGUUAAUAUUCAGGAUUUAUUAUCAUUUGCAUGUUUUGAUGUUGCAUAUCAUGAUUUUAUUGAUUUCAUGUAAUUGUUGUCUAUUUAAAAUUAUUUUAAUUGCCAAAUUUUAUUGUUACUUUAUUUAAUAUUGAAGCUGUUAUUUA